rnacentral:rRNA from 1 species
UACGUAGGGUGCAAGCAUUAAUCGGAUUUAUUGGGCGUAAAGGGCGCGUAGGCUGGGCGAUAAGUCAGAUGUGAAAUCCCGGGGCUCAACCCCGGAACUGCAUUUGAAACUGUGGUCCUAGAGGGUAGGCGGAGAAAACGGAAUUCCACAAGUAGCGGUGAAAUGCGUAGAUAUGUGGAAGAACACCGGUGGCGAAGGCGGUUUUCUAGCUUAUACCUGACGCUAAAGCGCGAAAGCAAGGGGAUCAAACAGG